rnacentral:lncRNA from 1 species
UUUCUUAUAAUUUUUGUCCUUAUGAUUCUUGCUGUGUAUAUGGACUACAUAAAUAACUUAGUAUAUUUGGUAUUUGUAACGGAAUUCCGACGAAAUUUUUGUCAGAAUUCUUCAAUUGCAAUAUCUGUGGGCCCUACUCUAUUUUAUUUAUGUAUUAUACUUAGUUUUUCAAUAUGAAAAUGAACUAAGUAUCAUUUUUUAGU